rnacentral:rRNA from 1 species
CGGUAACCUGCCCUAUGGUCGAGCAUAACCUCGGGAAACUGAGGGUAAUUCUCGAUAGAAGAUUCUUCCUGGAAUGGUGUUUCUUCCAAACACGUGCCAUAGGAUGGGCCGGCGGCUGAUUAGGCUGUUGGUGGGGUAACGGCCCACCAAACCUAUGAUCAGUACGGGCCUUGAGAGAGGUAGCCCGGAGAGGGACACUGAGAUACGGGUCCCAGCCCCACGGGGUGCAGCAGGCGCGAAACCCUUACAAUGCACGAAAGUGUGAUAGGGGGAUACUCAGUGCUUACGGUUAUGCUGUAGGCCUUUGUCGAUCGUAAAUAGAUCGGCGAAUAAGUGGUGGGUAAGACUGGUGCCAGCCGCCGCGGUAACCCCAGCGCCACAAGUGGUCAUCGCGAUUAUUGGGCCUAAAGCGUUCGUAGCCGGUUUGGUGCAUCUCUUGUGAAAUUGUUCGGCUUAACCGAACAGCGUGCAGGAGACACGGCCAGACUCGAGACCGGGAGGCGUAUGAAGUAUUCCAUGGGGACUGGUAAAAUGGGAUAAUCCAUGGAAGACUACCGAUGGCGAAGGCAUCAUACGAGAACGGAUCUGACGGUGAGGAACGAAAGCUAGGGGAGCGAACCGGAUUAGAUACCCGAGUAGUCCUAGCCGUAAACGCUGCGAGCAAGGUGUCGCGCAUCUCACGAAGAUGCGCGGUGUCGAAACGAAGGUGAUAAGCUCGCCGCCUGAGAAGUACGGUCGCAAGACUGAAACUUUA